UUCAAGAUGGACGCCGCCUUCUCCUUCACUUCUUCUUUUGGAACAACCUGCGGGAGAGGAGAGCAGAGAAGAAGCCGGAUCUGAGAACAACUCCUCCAGAGUCCAUCGUGAGCGAGCCUAGUAUGUUGCUGAAUGCCACGCAUGGCUGCUGCGGCGCUCACAGGAAAGAGGAAACAGACCUUGGCGGAAGAA